UUCAUCUACAUCACAAGCCACCUAAAGAAGUCACCCGGCCCAACACACUUCCACCACUGUAAUUGUUGAAACCUCUACUUCAACUCACAGCCCACAGCAACAGGUGAAGAAACAACACAGGGCCAGUUGUCAUAACUUCCAAUCCCACUACUUAACAACAACACAUUGCACCCACAACAAGACACCUACCACGGUGGAACCAAGAAUUGAAGAAACCACACAGUGCAUUUCAACACAUCCACAAAGCCACCUAAAGAAGUCCCCACGGCCAAAAAACCACUUCCACCACUGUAAUUGUUGAAACCUCUACUUCUAACAUCACAGCCCACACAACAGGUGAGAAACAAGGGCCAGUUGUCAUACUCAAUCCCUACUCAACCACAACCAAAAGCACCCACUACACCUACCACAGGUGGAAACUACAAGAAUUGAAGAAACCACAACUGAGACAAUUUCAUCUACAUCCACAAGCCACCUAAAGAAGUCCCACGGCCCAACACCACUUCCACCACGUAAUUGUUGAAACCUCACUUAAACAUCACAGCCCACAGCAACAGGUGAAGAAACAUCAGGGCCAGUUGUCAUUACAUUCCAAUCCCACUACUUUAACAACAACAACAAUGCAGCACCACAACAACGACACCUACCACAGGUGGAACGACAACAGUUGAAGAAACCACAAAUGAGACAAUCCAUCUACAAAACCACCUAAAGAAGUCACCCUCGGGCCCAACAACCACUUCCCCCGUAAUGGUUGAAACCUCUACUUAAACAUCACAGCCCACAGCAACAGGUGAAGAAACAUCAGGGCCAGUUGUCAUUACAUCCAAUCCCACUACUUUACAACAAAACAACAUUGCAACCCACAACAACGACACCUACCACAGGUGGAUCGCAACAGUUGAAGAAACCACAAAUGAGACAAGUCCAUCUACAAAACCACCUAAAGAAGUCACCUCGCCCAACAACCUUCCACCACGUAAUUGUUGAAACCCUUACUUCAACAUCACAGCCCACCAAACAGUGAAGAAACAUACAGGGCCAGUUGUCUACAUUCCAAUCCCACUACUUUAACAACAACAACAAUUGCACCCACAACAACGACACCUACCACAGGUGGAACGACAACAGUUGAAGAAACCACAAAUGAGACAAGUCCAUCUACAAAACCACCUAAAGAAGUCACCUCUGGCCCAACAACAACCCACCACUGUAAUUGUGAAACCUCUACUUCAACAUCACAGCCACAGCAACAGGUGAAGAAACAUCAGGGCCAGUUGUCAUUACAUCCAAUCCCACGACACACAACACACAUGACACACAACAAGACACCACCACAGGUGGAACUACAAGAAUUGAAGAAACCACACUGAGUCAAUUUCAACAACAUCCACAAGCCACCUAAAGAAGUCCCACGGGCCCAACAACCACUUCCACCACUGAAUUG
rnacentral:lncRNA from 1 species